rnacentral:snoRNA from 1 species
UUGCAUGAUGAACAAGUUGUCGCCCCAGUCUUACCUGCCUCCGACAAGGGCAGGAAUGCUGAUUGACACGUCUUAGCCAAUAG